UACGGAGGAUCCAAGCGUUAUCCGGAUUUAUUGGGUUUAAAGGGUGCGUAGGCGGCCUAUUAAGUCAGGGGUGAAAGACGGUGGCUCAACCAUCGCAGUGCCUUUGAUACUGAUAGGCUUGAAUACACUAGAGGUAGGCGGAAUGUGACAAGUAGCGGUGAAAUGCAUAGAUAUGUCACAGAACACCGAUUGCGAAGGCAGCUUACUAUGGCGUCAUUGACGCUGAGGCACGAAAGCGUGGGGAUCAAACAGG
rnacentral:rRNA from 1 species